rnacentral:rRNA from 1 species
CGGGUGCUAUACAUGCAGUCGAGCGAAUGGAUUAAGAGCUUGCUCUUAUGAAGUUAGCGGCGGACGGGUGAGUAACACGUGGGUAACCUGCCCAUAAGACUGGGAUAACUCCGGGAAACCGGGGCUAAUACCGGAUAAUAUUUUGAACCGCAUGGUUCGAAAUUGAAAGGCGGCUUCGGCUGUCACUUAUGGAUGGACCCGCGUCGCAUUAGCUAGUUGGUGAGGUAACGGCUCACCAAGGCAACGAUGCGUAGCCGACCUGAGAGGGUGAUCGGCCACACUGGGACUGAGACACGGCCCAGACUCCUACGGGAGGCAGCAGUAGGGAAUCUUCCGCAAUGGACGAAAGUCUGACGGAGCAACGCCGCGUGAGUGAUGAAGGCUUUCGGGUCGUAAAACUCUGUUGUUAGGGAAGAACAAGUGCUAGUUGAAUAAGCUGGCACCUUGACGGUACCUAACCAGAAAGCCACGGCUAACUACGUGCCAGCAGCCGCGGUAAUACGUAGGUGGCAAGCGUUAUCCGGAAUUAUUGGGCGUAAAGCGCGCGCAGGUGGUUUCUUAAGUCUGAUGUGAAAGCCCACGGCUCAACCGUGGAGGGUCAUUGGAAACUGGGAGACUUGAGUGCAGAAGAGGAAAGUGGAAUUCCAUGUGUAGCGGUGAAAUGCGUAGAGAUAUGGAGGAACACCAGUGGCGAAGGCGACUUUCUGGUCUGUAACUGACACUGAGGCGCGAAAGCGUGGGGAGCAAACAGGAUUAGA